ensembl:snoRNA
UGGAUCGGCGAUGAUGACUGAUGGUGUACGAGUCAGGGACAAUGAAAAUAUGUGUCUGAAACUCCGGGGUCCAG